UGUGGGUGGCGAGCGGCAGAUUUGGAUUCCCGCUCACGGCCACCGUCAGUGGCGAGCGAGCGCUUCUGAAGCGGCGGCUCGCUGGGCCUCCUCUAGGUCGACUCAGCCUGAAGCGUGUGUGCUACAGGUGGGUGUCUCGGAUUGCCAGCGCCAUGUGACGGAGCUCCAGGGCGUGCUGCGUGCCCGCCAGGAGGGGCUUGGUGAGAUGCUCUCACCCUGACUGAGCGCGGGAACACAGUGGGGCGGCACCAGCGGGACUCCCUGGACAACGCAGCCAAGUUCCUUGGCACAAGACCGAACAGCGCAGCGACUCGUGCAGCAGCAACGACCCAAGGGACAGCCUUCGCCACACACUCUGGAGGAGAAGAGGCUCCUCG